rnacentral:rRNA from 1 species
GAUGAACGCUGACAGAAUGCUUAACACAUGCAAGUCCACUUGAAUUUGGGUUUUUAACUUAGGUUUGGGCGGCGGACGGGUGAGUAACGCGUAAAGAACUUGCCUCACAGCUAGGGACAACAUUUGGAAACGAAUGCUAAUACCUAAUAUUAUGAUAAUAGGGCAUCCUAUAAUUAUGAAAGCUAUAAGCGCUGUGAGAGAGCUUUGCGUCCCAUUAGCUAGUUGGAGAGGUAACGGCUCGCCAAGGCGAUGAUGGGUAGCCGGCCUGAGAGGGUGAUCGGCCACAAGGGGACUGAGACACGGCCCUUACUCCUACGGGAGGCAGCAGUGGGGAAUAUUGGACAAUGGACCAAGAGUCUGAUCCAGCAAUUCUGUGUGCACGAUGAAGUUUUUCGGAAUGUAAAGUGCUUUCAGUUGGGAAGAAAGAAAUGACGGUACCAACAGAAGAAGUGACGGCUAAAUACGUG